UACAGAGGUCCCGAGCGUUGUUCGGAUUCAUUGGGCGUAAAGGGUGCGUAGGCGGCGGGGCAAGUCUGAUGUGAAAUCCCACGGCUCAACCGUGGAAGUGCAUUCGAAACUGCAGGGCUAGAGUCCUGGAGAGGAAGGUGGAAUGCUUGGUGUAGAGGUGAAAUUCGUAGAUAUUCGCAAGAACACCAGUGGCGAAGGCGGCUCACUGGCCCGAUACUGACGCUGAGGUGCGAAAGCGUGGGGAGCAAACAGG
rnacentral:rRNA from 1 species